UGGUCCUACGGGGCGCAGCAGUGGGGGAUAUUGGACAAUGGGGGGAACCCUGAUCCAGCGACGCCGCGUGAGUGAAGAAGUAUUUCGGUAUGUAAAGCUCUGUCAGCAGGGAAGAAAGAAAUGGCGGUACCUGACCAAGAAGCCCCGGCUAACUACGUGCCAGCAGCCGCGGUAAUACGUAGGGGGCAAGCGUUAUCCGGAAUUACUGGGUGUAAAGGGUGCGUAGGUGGCAGGGCAAGUCAGAUGUGAAAGCCCGGGGCCCAACCCCGGUACUGCAUUUGAAACUGUCCGGCUGGAGUGCAGGG
rnacentral:rRNA from 1 species